AGUGAACGCUGGCGGUAGGCCCAACACAUGCAAGUCGAACGGCAGCACAGUAAGAGCUUGCUCUUACGGGUGGCGAGUGGCGGACGGGUGAGGAAUACAUCGGAAUCUACUUUUUCGUGGGGGAUAACGUAGGGAAACUUACGCUAAUACCGCAUACGACCUACGGGUGAAAGCAGGGGAUCUUCGGACCUUGCGCGAUUGAAUGAGCCGAUGUCGGAUUAGCUAGUUGGCGGGGUAAAGGCCCACCAAGGCGACGAUCCGUAGCUGGUCUGAGAGGAUGAUCAGCCACACUGGAACUGAGACACGGUCCAGACUCCUACGGGAGGCAGCAGUGGGGAAUAUUGGACAAAGGGCGCAAGCCUGAUCCAGCCAUACCGCGUGGGUGAAGAAGGCCUUCGGGUUGUAAAGCCCUUUUGUUGGGAAAGAAAAGCAGCAGAUUAAUACCCCGCUGUUCUGACGGUACCCAAAGAAUAAGCACCGGCUAACUUCGUG
rnacentral:rRNA from 1 species